UAUCAUGCUAUGAUUGAUUUUUUUAACGUAAAAUAUUAGAAUUUUAACUCCCCGAUUUCGCUAUGAGCAUUAUAUGAAUUUAAUUUGAUUGUACUUAGAAGAAAGGUUUUCCUCUCUAUUAAUUAGUGAUCAUGCUCUUUUCAUGAAGUUUGCCGUUUUUCCUUUUAGAUUGGUAAAACAAGCAUGAGCGUCUUGGUCUCCCAAAGUUUUACUGCGACAGGAAAGUCAAUUUGGGUAGUUUAUGAAUCUUGAUGAUCUUGAGCUGGAGAGUACAGGAAAUUGCCAUGAUCGUUUUCCCCCUAAUAUGCGCUGGUGUGUGCUAGGCCCUGUAAAAUCCGAAUAAUGACUGCAUGAAAAUGGGUUGGUGUAACGUUCUUGAUAAUCAAGAACUGCUGAUUACCACCCAGACUUCAGAUUCCUCUCGAUGAUUAACUACUCACAACACACAAGACUAGAAGUAGUCGAGAAAAGCGCAACACACAAUGAUUUAACUCCAGAUUCCAUGAUGAAUCUGAACUGGGAAUUUUCGAGGAACUCCCAACCUCCAAGACUCAAGAUUCUUAUUCAACCGAUAUGCUUACAUGCAAGAACUCUGCUAUUCUUAUACUCGCAGAGUGAAUCCAGAAAUUCAAAACGCAACUAAUACAACAUAAAAUGCACCCAAACUUCUAACUAUCAAAACUCACCGUAUUACUUAAACCAACACACCGUUUGUAACAUACGAACCUAGAAUUUAGGUUAAUUCAGUUAGAAUUAUUUAGUUAUGUUCUGAUUAUAUUUAUUCUUUUUAUUAAUUACUUAUUUAUUUAUUUUCAGAUACGUAUAAUUAUCUUUUUGUUAAAUCAGAUAAUGAACCAGAUUAAUUAGUUUUUAGGUGGUUUCCUUUUAUCUUGUAAUCUUUGUUAUUAUCGGAUAGGUUUAAAAGUUUUUGAAAAGAUUCUAAGAUCAAAACCAAAUCAGAUCUAGCUAAUCCCCUGAAAACUCUAGCUAAUCUCCUGAAAACUCUAGCUAAUCUCCUGAAAACCCACGUAAAACCCUUUCCCUCACCUUUAUAAAAUCUUACCAGACCCUCAGAAUAAUGUUUCAGAAAUUUUAGUUGACAAAGAGGGAAAAGAAAAGGAUAGCACUCGUGCAGCCCCUUCUUUUCUGUUACCCAGCCACCUCAUCAGAGCACCUUCAGAUCUACACAGACACUGCCAGUCAACCACUUCGUUGAACACCCCACUAUCUGGUCACGAGCUACGACGUGAGUAUUCGGAAGCAGCGCUAAGAGAUGGUGAUUAUGAUGAUGCAGAGCUGGAUGGCCAGGAGUAGAUUUAGUAUAUGGACUUAGAGAUGAAUAAGUGUCUUUUACACAAGGAUUAAGUUUCCUUUAUGUCUUUUCAAUAACUAGUUUUGUUUAAGACUAGCUCACUUUUGCUUUAUUCAGUUUCAGUUUUCAAGACUAUUUAUUUCCUUUCUUUUAAGUCUAUUCCAAUAAAUGAGGUAUUUCAGAGUAA